rnacentral:snoRNA from 1 species
UAAUCAUGGUGGGGGCAAAGGGUUUGUAAUUCCUUGUAUCUUUCCCAUGCUUGGUAUAAAGUUUCAUUAUCCUUUUGAGCAAAUGAAGAAAUUUUCUUCUUUAUGGCA